AGCAACGUCUCAAGGUUGCUGUAUCCCAAGUGGCCAUACCUUCGGUGCCAAAGUGCUGCACGUUCAGCUCCGAUACCCACGGCAGCACACACUGCAUCACCACCAGAAGGUAUCCUGUUGUCUUCACGCUGCGUCCUCUUCAGAGCUCCCGUACCUCCACUGCUGUAGCAGACGGGAUACAAGUCCCCAUCCCGGUUUCCAGUCAGCACCAACUGGUUCUGUACGUAUACUUUCGCCUGUCCGCCGCCGAAGACCACACUGCCUCCACGAUCAUCAAUGAUGCGUACCGAUAUGAUUUUGGCGGUGGCCUCCUCGUCGACGUAGACCUUCUUGAAAGUGAUGGCCUGUUUAUCGUUGACGUUAGACCGAAUCGUAAGCGUGCCAACUUCAGUCGGUCGAAGAGAUUGUCC
rnacentral:lncRNA from 1 species